CGUGUAGGCGGAUCGGUAAGUGGGAUGUGAAAUGCCCCGGCUCACCCGGGGACCGGCAUCCCAAACUGCCAGUCUUGAGUAUGGGAGAGGAUGAGGGAAUUCCUGGUGUAGCGGUGAAAUGCGUAGAUAUCAGGAGGAACACCGGUGGCGAAGGCGCUCAUCUGGCCCAAUACUGACGCUGAGGCGCGAAAGCUAGGGGAGCAAACG
rnacentral:rRNA from 1 species